rnacentral:rRNA from 1 species
GAUGAACGCUGGCGGCGUGCCUAAUACAUGCAAGUCGAGCGAACAGACGAGGAGCUUGCUCCUCUGACGUUAGCGGCGGACGGGUGAGUAACACGUGGAUAACCUACCUAUAAGACUGGGAUAACUUCGGGAAACCGGAGCUAAUACCGGAUAAUAUAUUGAACCGCAUGGUUCAAUAGUGAAAGACGGUUUUGCUGUCACUUAUAGAUGGAUCCGCGCCGCAUUAGCUAGUUGGUAAGGUAACGGCUUACCAAGGCAACGAUGCGUAGCCGACCUGAGAGGGUGAUCGGCCACACUGGAACUGAGACACGGUCCAGACUCCUACGGGAGGCAGCAGUAGGGAAUCUUCCGCAAUGGGCGAAAGCCUGACGGAGCAACGCCGCGUGAGUGAUGAAGGUCUUCGGAUCGUAAAACUCUGUUAUUAGGGAAGAACAAAUGUGUAAGUAACUAUGCACGUCUUGACGGUACCUAAUCAGAAAGCCACGGCUAACUACGUGCCAGCAGCCGCGGUAAUACGUAGGUGGCAAGCGUUAUCCGGAAUUAUUGGGCGUAAAGCGCGCGUAGGCGGUUUUUUAAGUCUGAUGUGAAAGCCCACGGCUCAACCGUGGAGGGUCAUUGGAAACUGGAAAACUUGAGUGCAGAAGAGGAAAGUGGAAUUCCAUGUGUAGCGGUGAAAUGCGCAGAGAUAUGGAGGAACACCAGUGGCGAAGGCGACUUUCUGGUCUGUAACUGACGCUGAUGUGCGA